rnacentral:rRNA from 1 species
GCCAGGUAACUGGUGGAGUUGACCGGUACUAAUAGGCCGAGGGCUUGUCCUCAGUUG